AAAAUGAAAAAGCAUGGAAAAUUCACAGGGCACAGAGGGGAGAGAGCGAGAGAGACGCAAUGCCUGAAAGAGACGAGAGAGACUCUCUCUCUCUCUCUAAAGCAGGAUAUUUUCUUCUAAUUCUGCGAGGAAACGAGAAAUACGACAAGUACGACUUGGAGAAGCAGCGCGACCUCAACCCUUACGGCGACGAUGUCUUCGCUCGUCUCUACGCUGGCGUCAAUGACAAAAUCUAAGCUGCUCUUCAGGUUUGUUUGAAUCUCGUCUGUUCUUCAUUCCAUUGUUUCGGUUUGGUUGCCGAGAAAAUGUAGCAACGGAGAGACAGGGGAAACGGAAAUAUUUGAGUUCCUGGUGUUUGAUUGUGUGCUGAAAUGUGCAGAAAGCCGAGAUGGGUGAGUAAUCGGGUAGUGGCGGUUGCAACGAAUGUGGAGAUUCGACGGACCAAAGCUUGAUUGAUGGAGGAUGUUCCUAACCUGCCGAAAUUGGCUCAAAAAAGGUUUAUCAAAUCAUCUGUUUUUUUUUAAAAAAAUUUAUUUAUUUAUAAAUUUUUAAAAUUUGUGUAUUUUUAAUUAAGCUUGAAUUUUAGGAAAUACGUCUGAUUAGAUAUGAUUUGGUAGUUGUGGGUCACCAAUUAGGCUUUUUCUCCAAUUGUUUCCUGGUUUUGGAAAAGUGGUGUGGAUUGGGCCUCUGUUCCUCUCUGUCUAUCCAUGAUGCACAAGAAGAGUGUUGUUCUUGUAGUACGAGACUAGAAAUAGGAUAACUGUAGAAGAAUCUGGAA
rnacentral:lncRNA from 1 species